CAACAUUUUGUGCAAUGAUAUUUUCAUUCAAAUAAAUUCAUGUUAAACAUUUGUUUUUCCAUUUGUUUUCCCUUUUCACUUUUGCAUGAAAUUGGUGAUCACAAAAAACCUUAAAAAACAAGAAUAAAAGCAAUCUUUUCAUCUGCAUAACGAUUGUCUUGUUUGAUUUUCAAAAAAACUUUUCAUAUCAAAAUCAUUAUGCAGGUUGUUUCUUAAACCCAUUGAACAUAAUGAUCGGACGUCAUCUCCCAAUUUUGAAUUCCUUGUAUUCGAAGCGGAAGAAGAUGAUGUUGAAGGGAUUCCUGACGAGAUUUCCCGACUUCUUGAGCAAGAAAAGAAGAUCACACUCAGCUGCAUCUCGAGAAUCAGCAGAACAGCCAACUGGGGCAUUUAUCAAAAAAAGAAAAAAAGAAAAAAA
rnacentral:lncRNA from 1 species